UGCUGUCUAACUGAAGCACAUGCUUCGAUGAC
rnacentral:piRNA from 1 species